AUGGCUGCUCUCCCUCCUGCACCCCCCUACUUGGUCGACUUCCUCACCUACGGCUACGAUGCUUUCUGCACGCCCAAUAGAUUUUGCAUGAACUACAUGACCCCCAUCUGCUCCCACUGCUGCCCGAACCAUGCAGCGGCGCAUCACGGGGCGCAGUACCGAGAUCCACGGUGUCCAGAGGUGCGUUUCGCCCCCACCCCCACUGUUAAACUCACUAAGAUGUACGGGGGUUUCGGGCAUUGUGUCGAGUAUUUCGAUGCAAACAGAUGCGGCUACAAGUGGGAGCAGAUCCACAGGGUUAGGUACGGGCAGGAAGUUCUUGUCCCACUCCACCGACGAGCUGGUGCGCGGCAACGCCCAGGGCGAGUCCGCAGUUAUUGCAACAGGUGCAAUGAUCCUAUGGCUUCGACAGAAGCGUCGUGCUCCACCGAGUGCAAGCUCGCGGUGGUCGACGAAGGGAGGCCUGCAGGGAGGGCGAAGGCACAGGCCAUGGUGAAUGCUGACUUCCACCAGCGAUUCUUCCCCGAUAGGUUUUGUACGCUGUGCAGGAGAUUUUACGCCUCGGCUUUCUGCGGCACUCAUGCCCAGUCGCACCAUCCCGGGCAGGGCGGCGAGAUUAUCAGAUUUGUGCGAGCCCAGGGGAUGGUGCUGACGCCGGUGGCGGGAGUACUGCCCGGCCAUGUCGUCGACGGCGUACAGGUCAUCUACGUUGGUGGCAUCCCGAUGGUUCCCAUUCUCAGCCCUGCGGUGCCUGCAGACCUCGAGUCCGAGAACAUGUGCCCCAUCUGCUAUCAAGUAAUCGGAGCCGGCAACUUCUGUUCUUUGCAUUGCAAGUGGACUAGUUUUCGGGACUUGCAGCGAUGGUCUGUGCUUCCUUCGUGUGUGGGGAAUCCGCUAUCUCGGUGGGGGAGGUUGAGGUCUGCGCGUUGUGCCGUAGUCUGGAGGAAGAGGGAGCUUGAAGACAUCGGCAGUGGUGGGAUUGGAGUGGUGCCAUGGUUCAAUCAUGUCCGUCUGUAG
rnacentral:rRNA from 1 species